AGCUCAGGCUGCCCAGGGCCGCAUCCAACCUGGCCCUGAACACCUCCAGGGAUGGGGCACCACAGCCUCUCUGGGCAGCCUGUGUCAGGGCCUUGCUGCCCUCCGAGUAAAGAAUUUCCCCCACAAGUCUAACCUCAAUCUACCCUCUUAAUUUAAAGCCAUUCCCUCUUACUCUAUCGCUAUCAGACUGUGUAAAAAGACAGACUCCCUCCCGUUCAUAGCUGCCAUCCUCCAGUUGUCUUCACUGGCUGUGUAAAUCAGUCUGUCAGGUAUCUCAGCUGCUCAAUUUGGUCUUCACAAUAUGUCCCCACACAGAUGGUGUACCUUGUGGCAGAUGAAGGUCUUCUUUGUUAAUUACUUAACUCUUCGAGCCCUUUGAUGCAAACAUCUCCAUCCACAAGCCAGAUCAGCGUCCUAACACGCCUUGCUGGUGCCGGAGUCAUAGAAUGAUUAGAAACAUAGAAAUCCCAAACUGGAAGGGUCCCACCAGGGUCAUUGAGCCCAGAUCCUGGCUUCACACAGCACCACCCAACAUUCAAAUCCUACGUCUGAGUGUGUUGUCCAGAUGAAUUCCAGUGCUCAGGGCCACGUCCUUGGGCAGCCCGUUCCGUGCACACUGCCCUGUGGUGCAGACCCUGUCCCCAACCCCCACUGCCCCUCCCCUGACACAGCUCCAUGCCGUUCCCUCGGGCCCUGUCGCUGUCACACAGAGCAGAGCUCAGCGCUGCCCCUCCGCUCCCUGUGAGGAGCUGCAGCCGCCAUUAGGCCUCCCCUCAGCUCCUCCUGGUCGUUCUGGGCCGAACAGACCUGGGGACCACAGCAGCUCCUCAUACAUCUUGACCUCCAUAGCCUUCACUAUCUCUGUAGCUCUCAUUUGGACACCCUCUAAUAGCUUUGUGUCCUUCUUGUAUUAUGGUACCCAAUGCUGCACACAGUCCUUCAGAUGAGGCUGCACCAGCACAGCGCAGAGGAGGACAAUCCCUUCCCUCAACCAACCGUCAGUGCAAGCCUGGAGGAAUCAUUGUCUUUCCACAGUGGACUACUUUCAGAUAUGUCUCGUCGCCAUCAGGGAUGUGUUCCCUUGAUCCUAAAAUCAUUUAAAUGAGUUUCAUUAUCAAAAGAGUAUCUGCUUUGAAUGAGGUUAUUUUAUUUAACACAUGUUGCUCUUUGUAGUUGUCCUAUCUUGGAACUGCAGCCUGUUUUUGUAAUAUUUAACUACAGCCUGUGUGAGUUGCCUGUUGCCUCUUAUUUUGUCUCCUGGUAUGCCACACUUCCUCACAUGACUCACAGCGAGAGCAGUGUUUUUUUAAUAUCUUGAGUAUUCGCUGUUUUGAUUGCAUUAGCCCCUAGAAGGACCCUGCUAUUUUAGCAGCUGUGUAAGUAAAUAGCAGUGGAAGCAGGGACAGGUACUCUGGGAGGAAUACAGCAAUGUUGCUUGUCUGUGUGGAGAUGGUGUCAAGAAGACCAAGGCUCAACUGAAAUGGGAUUUGGCAAGAGGUGCAAAGAAAAAUAAGAAAGACAGAUCUUUUAUCAAGGGUCUGUUUUGAUAGGAAAUGGUGGAAAUGGUUUCAAAUUAAAAGAGAGGAUACUUAAAUUGGAUACAAGAAUGAAGUUUUUUAUAAUAAGGGUGGUGAGACUGUAGAAUAGGUUACCCAGAGAGAAGGUGGAUGCCCCAUCGUUGGAGACACUCAAGGUCAGGCUGGAGGGGUCUCUGAGCAACCUAACCUAGAUGUAGGUGUCCCUGUUCAUUGCAGGGCAGUUGGAUUAGGUGACCUUUAAAGGUCCCUUCCAACUCAAAUGAUACUGUGGUGAUACUUUGAAUUUGCUCAUCUUCAAAACAAAAUACAUCCUUAGACCUAGACCAGCAUAACUGAUGAGCAAAAUAAUGCUGUCUAUCUGGCUUUACUUGACUUUACCAUUUAAAAUAAAUGCAUCUGCUUUAGUGAGGCUUGCAUAGUUUUUCUGCCAACUCCUCGGUAGCCAUUACAUGGUGGAGCUUGAUUAAAGGAAUGUGGAUUUCAAAAUCAUGUUCUCACACAUGUUCACUGAAACUGAAUGUGAAACAUUUAAGUAUGCCUGUCUGGAUUGCCUUCAUGCUAAUCAGUCACCGAGGGGAGCUGAUACAUCAUCUGUCCUCUAGCCAGCUAGGAAGCAUCACUCACACAUUUUGAGUUCACUAUUGGGCAAGACGGCUGUCCAUCAAAUGUGAAUAAUAGAUUGGAGGAGUUAAUGGUCUGUUCCAAGAUAUUUUAUGAACAGAAAAAUGUCCUACAUUUAUGGAAUCAAUUAUUCGCUAUGAACAAUUCUCCCAAUUUUUCUCAUUCAAAACACAGGGUAGUUAAAUACAUGCCAUUAUCCUCGCUUUUCUAGAUUCAUGGAUCGUAAGGCCAAGGGGGUAAUUAAGAUCAUCCAGGUUGACCUCUAGCUUAAUACAGGCUAAAAACUCUCUUCUGAUUAUUUCUGCAUGGAGACCAUCCUUUCUGCUUGAGCAACAGCACAUCCUUUAAGAAGACAGCUAAUUAUGAUUUGAAAGCAUCAUGUGCUACGGAAUCUGGUACAUCCCUUUGAGCUGUUUGUAUAAUUAGCCUUGUUGCCAACAUUUUUUAUCUUGGUUCUACUCUGAAUUUGUCCUGCUUCAGCUUUCAGCCACAGGAUCUUAUUAGAUCUUUACAUCACUAGAUUAGAGACCUGUUUGCCAUCAGAUACCCCUUUCAUAAUGGUGUUUGUGAGUCACCUUUUAUCUGCUCUUGAAUAAGCUAGCAACAAAGACUUUGUUGGCCUUUUACUAUACAGACACUUACUAUACAGACAGUAUAAAACUAUACUUUUACUAUACAAACAGUUGUCUAAUCUCAGAUUAUUCUUGCAGCUUCCAUCUGAAUGUUUACUGGCCUUUGCUUUUACGAGGCAAGCACAAAAUUUCCUUAGAACUGCCAAAAACCAUAGCUGGCAGUUCCCUCUGUGGGGAUGGCAUCCAGCCUUGCAGAGCUCUGAACUACACUUUAACUUGACAAGAAGGACUCUUCGGGUACACAGUUGAAAACUGCUGGUUGCUGAAACUCAGGUGAUGGUGAAUUGAGAGUCUGCUAUAUUCAAAGGCAGCAACACGUAAAUAUUUUACAGCUUAGAAACCCAGUUUCAUGAGGCUGCAGAAGAAUGCCAAAUUAUCUUGGAGAAAGAAUUUAACAUGCAAGAUAUCAUAAUGGUACAAGCAGUUUUGUUUCCUUACAUCUUUAAAAGUGAAUAAGAGAAGAAGAGAGGUUCAGCAAAGGAUGAGAAGAGUGAGCACAAAAACGGCCAAAAUAAUUUAGUUCAGUGAGCAAUUAAAUAGGCCAAAUUUUGUCAGCUUGGA